GGACGAACGCUGGCGGCGUGCCUAAUACAUGCAAGUCGAACGGUCUUUCUAUGGAAGCUUGCUUCCACUGAGAAGAUAGUGGCGAACGGGUGAGUAACACGUGGGUAACCUGCCCAUAAGAGGGGGAUAACAUCCGGAAACGGGUGCUAAUACCGCAUAGUCUUCUUGAUCGCAUGAUCGGGAAAGGAAAGACGGCCUUUGUGCUGUCGCUUAUGGAUGGACCCGCGGCGUAUUAGUUAGUUGGUGAGGUAACGGCUCACCAAGACGAUGAUACGUAGCCGACCUGAGAGGGUGAUCGGCCACAUUGGGACUGAGACACGGCCCAAACUCCUACGGGAGGCAGCAGUAGGGAAUCUUCCGCAAUGGACGAAAGUCUGACGGAGCAACGCCGCGUGAGUGAAGAAAGGUUUUCGGAUCGUAAAACUCUGUUGUCAGAGAAGAACAAGUUGGAGAGUAACUGCUCCAGCCUUGACGGUAUCUGACCAGAAAGCCACGGCUAACUACGUGCCAGCCGCUGC
rnacentral:rRNA from 1 species